CUGUAUCAGAAAUAAGAUGAAAAGGGAAUCCGGUGAAAAACCGGAGCUGUACCCGCAGCUGUAAGUCCUAUCCGUCGUUUGACGGAUCGUGUUAUUGAAUCAUAAGCCACUUUCCGAGGGAAUCGGGAGGGAAGGCAUCAAUAACCGGGAUGAGCCAGAAGACCUGCCAUAAAUUCA
rnacentral:ncRNA from 1 species